UACGUAGGGUGCAAGCGUUGUCCGGAAUUAUUGGGCGUAAAGCGCUCGUAGGCGGUCUGUCGCGUCGGCUGUGAAAACCCGGAGCUCAACUCCGGGCCUGCAGUCGAUACGGGCAAACUGGAGUGUUGCAGGGGAGACUGGAAUUCCUGGUGUAGCGGUGAAAUGCGCAGAUAUCAGGAGGAACACCGGUGGCGAAGGCGGGUCUCUGGGCAACAACUGACGCUGAGGAGCGAAAGCGUGGGGAGCGAACAGG
rnacentral:rRNA from 1 species